UACGGAGGGUGCGAGCGUUGUUCGGAAUCACUGGGCGUAAAGGGCGUGUAGGCGGUCCGCUAAGUCUGAUGUGAAAGCCCGGGGCUCACCCCCGGAAGUGCAUUGGAAACUGGCGGACUCGAGUCCCGGAGAGGAGAGUGGAAUUCCUGGUGUAGCGGUGAAAUGCGUAGAUAUCGAGAGGAACACCUGCGGCGAAGGCGGCUCUCUGGAACGCAACUGACGCUGAGACGCGAAAGCGUGGGGAGCAAACAGG
rnacentral:rRNA from 1 species